UUGAACGCUGGCGGCAUGCUUUACACAUGCAAGUCGAACGGCAGCGGGGGCUUCGGCCUGCCGGCGAGUGGCGAACGGGUGAGUAACGCGUUGGUGAUCUGCCUCGAAGUGUGGAAUAACGUUCCGAAAGGAACGCUAAUACCGCAUGUGCUCUCGAUUUUUAGAAAGUUGAGAGUAAAGGAUUUAUUCGCUUCGAGAGGAGCCUGCGUCCCAUCAGCUGGUUGGUAGGGUAACGGCCUACCAAGGCUAUGACGGGUAGGGGACCUGAGAGGGUGGCCCGCCACAAUGGAACUGAAACACGGUCCAUACACCUACGGGUGGCAGCAGUAGGGAAUAUUAGAAAUGGACGAAAGUCUGGUCUAGCAACACCGCGUGUGCGAAGAAGGCCUUCGGGUCGUAAAGCACUUUUUGGAAGGAAUAGGAAGGAAUGUACUUCCAGAAUAAGUCUCGGCUAACUACGU
rnacentral:rRNA from 1 species